AACCAGACUCCUACGGGAGGCAGCAGUGAGGAAUAUUGGUCAAUGGCCGCAGGGCUGAACCAGCCAAGUCGCGUGAGGGAAGACGGUCCUAUGGAUUGUAAACCUCUUUUGUCGGGGAGCAAAAGACGCCACGUGUGGCGUUCCGAGAGUACCCGAAGAAAAAGCAUCGGCUAACUCCGUGCCAGCAGCCGCGGUAAUACGGAGGAUCCGAGCGUUAUCCGGAUUUAUUGGGUUUAAAGGGAGCGUAGGUGGGUUGUUAAGUCAGUUGUGAAAGUUUGCGGCUCAACCGUAAAAUUGCAAUUGAUACUGGCAGUCUUGAGUACAGUUGAGGUAGGCGGAAUUCGUGGUGUAGCGGUGAAAUGCUUAGAUAUCACGAAGAACUCCGAUUGCGAAGGCAGCUUACUAAACUGCCACUGACAUUGAUGCUCGAAAGUGUGGGUAUCAAACAGGAUUAGAUACCCUUGUAGC
rnacentral:rRNA from 1 species